rnacentral:rRNA from 1 species
UUUAUGGAGAGUUUGAUCCUGGCUCAGGAUGAACGCUGGCGGCGUGCCUAAUACAUGCAAGUCGAGCGAACUGACGAGGAGCUUGCUCCUUUGACGUUAGCGGCGGACGGGUGAGUAACACGUGGGUAACCUACCUAUAAGACUGGAAUAACUCCGGGAAACCGGGGCUAAUGCCGGAUAACAUAUCGAACCGCAUGGUUCGAUAGUGAAAGACGGUCUUGCUGUCACUUAUAGAUGGACCCGCGCCGUAUUAGCUAGUUGGUGAGGUAAGGGCUCACCAAGGCAACGAUACGUAGCCGACCUGAGAGGGUGAUCGGCCACACUGGAACUGAGACACGGUCCAGACUC